CAGUCUCCGCGGUAAUACGAAGGGGGCUAGCGUUGUUCGGAUUUACUGGGCGUAAAGGGUGCGUAGGCGGAUUGUUAAGUCAGGGGUGAAAUCCCGAGGCUCAACCUCGGAACUGCCUUUGAUACUGGCGAUCUUGAGUCCGGGAGAGGUGAGUGGAACUGCGAGUGUAGAGGUGAAAUUCGUAGAUAUUCGCAAGAACACCGGUGGCGAAGGCGGCUCACUGGCCCGGUACUGACGCUGAGGCACGAAAGCGUGGGGAGCAAACAGGAUUAGAUACCCCCGUAGUCCCUGUCUCUUAUAC
rnacentral:rRNA from 1 species